GACGAACGCUGGCGGCGUGCUUAACACAUGCAAGUCGAACGGAAAGGCUCCAGCUUGCUGGAGUACUCGAGUGGCGAACGGGUGAGUAACACGUGGGUGAUCUGCCCUGCACUUCGGGAUAAGCCUGGGAAACUGGGUCUAAUACCGGAUAGGACCGCACUUUGGUGUGUGUGGUGGAAAGGUUUUUCUGGGGUGGGAUGAGCUCGCGGCCUAUCAGGUUGUUGGUGGGGUAAUGGCCUACCAAGACGGCGACGGGUAGCCGGCCGGAGAGGGUGGACGGGCACAUUGGGACUGAGAUACGGCCCAGACGCCGACGGGGGGCAGCAGUGGGGAAUAGUGCACAAUGGGGGAAACCCUGAUGCAGCGACGCCGCGUGGGGGAUGAAGGACUUCUGGUUGUAAACUCCUUUCGCUAGGGACGAAGCUUUUUGUGACGGUACCUGGAGAAGAAGCACCGGCUAACUACGUG
rnacentral:rRNA from 1 species